GUAAAACUUCGAGAUGUUGUUACUCAUACCGAAUCGCUGAUCACCGUAGUAUCCUCUGACUUCGAUUUCAUCAUAGUAAACACCGAUCCGGCGGUUAGGGUUACGGAUUGUGAAAUUGAGAUCGAGAUUGUAUCGGAGGUUGUUGGUUGGGUCGAGUGUGAAUUCGGUGAGUUUAGCGUCGGUGACGUGGAAUUUGAUAGCGUUGGGUCUGAAAAUGAGCCAGAUGAUUAGAGCAGCUAUGCCUAAUAAGACGGCUAUGGUUAUGAGGAUGUUGAAGAUGA